GACGAACGCUGGCGGCAUGCCUAAUACAUGCAAGUCGAGCGAACAGAUGAAGUGCUUGCACUUCUGACGUUAGCGGCGAACGGGCGAGUAACACGUAAGGAAUCUACCUAUAAGCGGGGGAUAACAUUCGGAAACGGGUGCUAAUACCGCAUAAUAUCUUCUUCCGCAUGGAAGAAGAUUGAAAGACGGCUCUGCUGUCACUUAUAGAUGACCUUGCGGUGCAUUAGUUAGUUGGUGGGGUAAUGGCCUACCAAGACGAUGAUGCAUAGCAGACCUGAGAGGGUGAUCGGCCACAUUGGGACUGAGACACGGCCCAAACUCCUACGGGAGGCAGCAGUAGGGAAUCUUCCGCAAUGGGCGAAAGCCUGACGGAGCAAUGCCGCGUGAGUGAAGAAGGCCUUCGGGUCGUAAAACUCUGUUAUAAGAGAAGAACAAAUUGUAGAGUAACUGCUACAGUCUUGACGGUAUCUUAUCAGAAAGCCACGGCUAACUACGUGCCAGCAGCCGCAGUAA
rnacentral:rRNA from 1 species